AUGGCAAGGAGUGUGGCUGAGGAUUUUUGUGGUUUUUUCAGGGGAUUGCAGAAAGAGUUUGGAACAAAGGAUUUUGUGUCUACAACAACUGGUUUUGAACAACAAAGAUAUGGGCAAUACAACAUGCUGUAUGCAGGUUUUUGGACUGACCUGUUUGGACUAAUAUGCAGGGUUGUUUCUAGUUUGGGAGAGCAGUAUGGUGGAGCAGAAUUGUAG